rnacentral:rRNA from 1 species
AGUGAACGCUGGCGGUAGGCUUAACACAUGCAAGUCGAACGGCAACACAGUAAGAGCUUGCUCUUACGGGGGGCGAGUGGCGGACGGGUGAGGAAUACAUCGGAAUCUACUUUUUCGGGGGGGAUAACGUAGGGAAACUUACGCUAAUACCGCAUACGACCUACGGGUGAAAGCAGUGGAUCUUCGGACCUUGCGGGGUUGGAUUAGCCGAUGACGGAUUAGCUAGUUGGCGGGUGAGAGGCCCACCAAGGCGUGGAUCGGUAGCCGGUCUGAGAGGGGGACCGGCCACAUGGGGCCUGGGCUACGGACCAGACUCCUACGGGAGGCAGCAGUGGGGAAUAUUGCACAGUGGGCGGAAGCCUAACACAGCAACGCCGCGCACGGGAUGACGGCCUUCGGGGAGAAAACCGCUGUCGCCUGUGACGAAGCGUGAGUGACGGUAAUGGGUAAAGAAGCACCGGCUAACUACGUG